rnacentral:rRNA from 1 species
AACGAACGUUAGCGGCGCGCUUAACACAUGCAAGUCGAGCGAGAAAGGGGCAACCCCGGUAAAGCGGCGCACGGGUGAGUAACACGUAGGUAAUCUACCCUCGGGUGGAGGAUAACUUUCCGAAAGGAAGGCUAAUACUGCAUGAGACCACGUCUGCGCGAGCGGAUGAGGUCAAAGCCGGCCACUGUACACAAGCUGGCGCCUGAGGAUGAGCCUGCGGCCCAUCAGCUAGUUGGUAGGGUAAUGGCCUACCAAGGCGAAGACGGGUAGCUGGUCUGAGAGGAUGAUCAGCCACACUGGAACUGAGACACGGUCCAGACUCCUACGGGAGGCAGCAGUGGGGAAUCUUGCGCAAUGGGCGAAAGCCUGACGCAGCGACGCCGCGUGAGUGAUGAAGGCCUUCGGGUUGUAAAGCUCUGUGGAGAGGGACGAAUAGGUCGUGGCUAACAUCCACGAUGAUGACGGUACCUCUUUAGCAAGCACCGGCUAACUCUGUGCCAGCAGCAGCCGCCGUAA